CAAUCUGGAGGCGGGUCAGCUCCUCCUGGAUUUUCUCGUAGUCCCUUCUGGUGGAAGCUAGAAGCUGGGGAAAUGAGGAGGCCAGGGAAAAAUGUUGCCGUUUGAACAGUGACAAAAGGAAUUGAUCCGAGGCAGCUGAACCACUCUGAGAGAUGCAAAGAACAGUGUGGAAGCCACAA
rnacentral:sRNA from 1 species